ACCAAGGAAUUUAUCAUGCACGAGAGUCAAUGGGUCCCACGAAACCCAAAGGCGCAGUGAAAGUGAAGUCUCGACUUGUUCUUGGGAUGUGGUGUGAUGCCACCGUUGUUUGCACCUCGCCUUGCGCGUACAGCACCAGGCACAAGAGCAGUGGUCGCAUCACCGGCCCGUCCCAUGAUGUGGUAGUUGGAAAGGCCUGGAUCGUGUUGGAGCUGGCGCGUCAUCGGGACGGAGCAGGAGCGUGCACGAUAAGACCCGAAAGAUGGUGAACUAUGCUUGCAUACGUUGAAGCAAGAGAAAAGUCUGGUGGAGGACCGCAGCGAUGCUGACGUGCAAAUCGAUCGUCAAACGUGAGUUGAGGGGCGAAAGACUAAUCGAAAAAUCUAGUAGUUGGUUCCCUCCGAAGUUUCCCUCAGGAUAGCUGGCACUCAUUCGCAAGUUCACUUUUAUCCGGUAAGGCGAAUGAUUAGAGGUAAUGGGUUUGAAACGAGCUCAACCUAUUUUAAAACUUUAAAUGGGUGAGAUGCCUGGCUCACUUUAUAGGGGUCGGGUGCUGAAUAUGCGAGUGCCAAGUGGGCCAUUUUUGGUAAGCAGAACUGGUGCUGUGGGAUGAACCAAACGCCCGGUUAAGGUGCCUAACGCUGACACUCAUGAGAUAACGCAAAAGGUGUUGGUUAAUAUAGACAGCAGGACGGUGGCCAUGGAAGUCGGCAUCCGCUAAGGAGUGUGUAACAACUCACCGGCCGAAUUGACCAGCCCUGAAAAUGGAUGGCGCUGGAGCGUCAGACCUAUACCGGGCCGUCACCGCAAACUGGAUCACUGGCUAUGUUUUGUGGUGCGAGCAGCCCAUGGCCAGUUGCGUGAAAAACAAUAGGUCGCUGUCUUGCGAUGUCAUGAUCCAGGCAAGGAGGUGGUGGCGAGUAGCAGGUUUGCCGUGGUGAGCGUGGAAGCCUCGGACGUGAGUGUGGGUGCAGCCGCCACGGCUGCAGAUCUUGGUGGUAGUAGCAAAUAUUCAAGUGAGAACCUUGAAGGCCGAGGUGGAGAAGGGUUCCAUGGGAACAGCAGUUUGCCAUGGAUCAGGCGGUCCUAAGCGAUCCGGUAUCUCGGUAAAGUGACGUGGGGUGUUUUGCAUACUUCUGUCUGUGUGUGUGCGCGCGUGCAGCCGGCAGCCCCCCGGAGCGAAAGGCAAUCGGGUUAAUAUUCCGGACCCUGCCUACGGAGAUAGGCAAGCGUUUGGCUGGGCCAUCAGUCUGUGUGCCUCUUCGGUGUAUGCAGCUGUGGUCUGUGUCUGGACGCUGCUAAGCACGGUAACGCAACCGAAUUCGGAGACAUCAGCUUGAGUUCCGGGAAGAGUUUUAUUUUCUUUGUAAGGAGUGAUCACUACCUCUGGAAUCGGGUUGUCUGGAGAUAGGGAUAUCACCUCCGUAAAAGCACCACCUCUCUUGUGGUGUCCGGAACACUCUGGUUGGACCUUGAAAAUCCGAGGAAGGCAUUAUGAUUUUGGGGCAGGCCGUACCCAUAUCCGCAUCAGGUCUCCAAGGUGAACAGCCUCUGGCA
rfam:Schistocephalus solidus strain NST_G2 genome assembly, scaffold: SSLN_contig0002302